rnacentral:rRNA from 1 species
ACGGAGGGUGCAAGCGUUAUCCGGAUUUACUGGGUUUAAAGGGUGCGUAGGCGGCUCUUUAAGUCAGUGGUGAAAGCCUGGUGCUUAACACCAGAAUUGCCAUUGAUACUGGAGAGCUUGAGUCAAGAAGAGGUAAGCAGAAUUCAUGGUGUAGCGGUGAAAUGCAUAGAUACCAUGAGGAAUUCCAAUAGCGAAGGCAGCUUACUGGUCUUUGACUGACGCUGAGGCACGAAAGCGUGGGGAGCGAACAGGAUUAGAUACCCUGGUAGUCCACGCUGUAAACGAUGAUUACUCGAUAUACACGCUUGUCGUGUGUGUCCAAGCGAAAGCGUUAAGUAAUCCACCUGGGGAGUACGCGCGCAAGCGUG